CAGAAAAUAACUUUUUUAAUAUUAAAAAUUAAAAUUUUUUUAAUUUGUGCAGAAACAAUUAUAAAAAUUAAAGACAAGAAGACCCUAAGAAUUUAUGAAUUUAAAUAACAUUUUUUUAUGUUAGCUAAAUUUUAGCUGGGGCGGCUAAGAAAUAUAAGAAACUUUUUGAAUUAAUUUGACCCAUUAGUAAUGAUCAUAUGAAAAAAUACUCUAGGGAUAACAGCGUUAUAUUUUUUGAUAGAUCAUAUUGACAAAA
rnacentral:rRNA from 1 species